GACGAACGCUGGCGGCGUGCUUAACACAUGCAAGUCGAACGGAAAGGCCUCUUUCGGGGGGUACUCGAGUGGCGAACGGGUGAGCAACACGUGAGUAACCUGCCCUUGACUUUGGGAUAACUUCAGGAAACUGGGGCUAAUACCGGAUAGGAGCUCCUGCUGCAUGGUGGGGGUUGGAAAGUUUCGGCGGUUGGGGAUGGACUCGCGGCUUAUCAGCUUGUUGGUGGGGUAGUGGCUUACCAAGGCUUUGACGGGUAGCCGGCCUGAGAGGGUGACCGGCCACAUUGGGACUGAGAUACGGCCCAGACUCCUACGGGAGGCAGCAGUGGGGAAUAUUGCACAAUGGGUGGAAGCCUGAUGCAGCAACGCCGUGUGCGGGAUGACGGCCUUCGGGUUGUAAACCGCUUUCGCUCAUGACGAAGCUUUGUGUGACGGUAGUGGGUAAAGAAGCACCGGCUAACUACGUG
rnacentral:rRNA from 1 species